rnacentral:misc_RNA from 1 species
AGACCUAUAAAUUCAUCAUUUUUCUAAUCUUAACCCUAGCUCCUCCCAUGAUACGCUGUUUUCAUCUCAGCUCUUUCCUUGUAACACUAUUCUCAUCUCAGCUUUUCCUGCUAGAAUCUCAGUGCUGCCAUUUGAAGCUCCUUUAUUGGCUCAAAACACCACCGUUUUGAAUGGAUUUGCCUUUAUCUAGAAUUGUGGCGCUGCUGUCGUCUUAGCACUUGGUGCUUAUCUUCAAGAUUUUGGUUCCUUUAUUUUUGUCUAUCAUUUUUGUUUGUUGACUAUCGAGAUUUUUUUUUUU